rnacentral:rRNA from 1 species
AUCAAUUUAAAAUUGAUAACAUAAGGGAAAAUAAUGAUAUUACCUUAUUAUUAGUGUCGUCCAAAACUGGUGCCAGAAGACUCGGUAAGGCCAGAGACACAAACGUUAAUCGUCUUAAUCAGGCGUAAAGGGUUUGUAGGCGGCUUUUAAUUUUCUUAUAAAAUUUUUUAAAAUUAAAUAAGUUAAGAAUAAAAGCUAGAAUCAAAUAGAGGAUAUAUCAAAUAAUGCUUAGAGUAGGUCUGAUAUCCAUAGAUACUAAGUAGAAUAUUAAAGGCGAAAGCUUUUUUCCAUAAAUGAUUGACGCUCAGAAACGAAGGUGAGGAUAGGAAAUAGGAUUAGAUACCCAAAAUACCCCUCUCUGUCAACGAUGAAUGGUAAUUAUUAAUAAUAAAUUUAUUAUUAAUGAUAAUGUUAACACGAUAACCAUUCCGCCUUGUGAGUACAACUGCAAAGUUGAAAACAAAAAAAUUAGUCGGUUUCGGAGCAAACGAAGUGAAGCAUGUUAUUUAAU